AAGACUGUGAGAGGAGUUGAUUUCAGAACGCAGACAACAAGUCAUGAAACUGGCCGUGUCUACAUUUGCUAAUCAAAGGCCAUAACUCA